GAUGAACGCUGGCGGCGUGCCUAAUACAUGCAAGUCGAGCGCGAGAUUGAGGAGCUUGCUCCUCAUGAUCGAGCGGCGGACGGGUGAGUAACACGUAGGCAACCUACCCUUGAGAUUGGGAUAACUACCGGAAACGGUAGCUAAUACCGGAUACGACUUUUCCACAUAAGUGGAAUGGUUAAAAGGCGGAUUUAUCUGCCGCUCAUGGAUGGGCCUGCGGUGCAUUAGCUAGUUGGUGAGGUAGUGGCUCACCAAGGCGACGAUGCAUAGCCGACCUGAGAGGGUGAUCGGCCACACUGGGACUAAGACACGGCCCAGACUCCUACGGGAGGCAGCAGUAGGGAAUCUUCCGCAAUGGACGAAAGUCUGACGGAGCAACGCCGCGUGAGUGAUGAAGGGUUUCGGCUCGUAAAACUCUGUUGUUAAGGAAGAACACUUGAGGUAGUAACUGGCCUUGAGAUGACGGUACUUAACCAGAAAGCCACGGCUAACUACGUGCCAGCAGCCGCCGUAA
rnacentral:rRNA from 1 species